GGAAUAUAUAUUUUAUGAUAUAAGUUUUUCUACUGCUAUAUUCUGAUUUUUUUAGAACUAUGAAAUUCUACUUAAGCCCAAGGUAGGGAACCUGGAUAUGGAGCUGUUCCACAAUAUCUGAACAAACCUUCAAUUUCAGGACAUCCAUUGGGAUAAGGGAUAGAGCGAUGAAAUGGAUCACGACCAAGCUUCUUGCGACGGAGAGAGCCUUUACAUCCGUAAGGAUCUUCUUUAAACUGUGUCCUCACCAGUGCUUCUCCUUUUAAAGCAGCGUCUCUCGAUGUUUGUGAAGAUGAUGUCCCUGAGUAAAAGAAACUUGUUUCUGGAAAUCCAAUUGCAGACCGAUGUAGAUGCUUAAAUCUCUUCUCCUUGAAGUCAUAGCCUACAACAGUUAUAUUAUGUGGAUAUGUGCCAGUAAGCUCCCUGAACCGACAAACACUAAAGAGAAGAUUCUCA
rnacentral:misc_RNA from 1 species